rnacentral:sRNA from 1 species
AUCGACUCGUACACUCCGGUUCUGAGCGCGCCGUCCGCACCCACCUGACGACUGCUCGCUACGUUUUGUUAGCC